CAAAAUAUUACGCUAAUCAGCUUGUUUUUAACUGCAGUCAUAUAGUAGUAAAGUUUAUAUAGUUGUUAUAUUGUUGCGAGUGAUAAAUUUAACUGGCAGUCAUAUGUUUUGUGCUCAUUAUAUUUCAUGAUUGAUUGCUAACAAAGAUCACAGACCAGCAGUGUGGCAUCCACCAGCACUAUGACAGGACCAGAGGUGCACAGGUGUGCGAGCAUCUCUGCGUGAGUGAGCGAGUGCUUCUGCACCACUAUGCCAUUGGCUGACGCCUCGUCGAAGCGACGCUGCACGCGUUCACGGUCCUACAGAGGAAAUUAAGUUUUUUAUGUAAGAUCAGCACAUCAUGGUAGUUAUGAAAUAAGACUGGUUUGAUGGUUUUGCUCUUAUUGUAAAACUAGUGACCCGCCCAGGCUUUGCAUGGUAUAAUAUUAUUUAACCCACUA